rnacentral:rRNA from 1 species
GGGUGCGAUCAUACCAGCACUAAUGCGCUGGAUCCCAUCAGAACUCCGCAGUUAAGCUCGCUUUGUCGAGAAUAGUACUAGGAUGGGUGACCUCCUGGGAAGUCCUCGUGUUGCACCUC